rnacentral:rRNA from 1 species
GAUGAACGCUGGCGGCGUGCCUAAUACAUGCAAGUCGAGCGAACGGACGAGAAGCUUGCUUCUCUGAUGUUAGCGGCGGACGGGUGAGUAACACGUGGAUAACCUACCUAUAAGACUGGGAUAACUUCGGGAGACCGGAGCUAAUACCGGAUAAUAUUUUGAACCGCAUGGUUCAAAAGUGAAAGACGGUCUUGCUGUCACUUAUAGAUGGAUCCGCGCUGCAUUAGCUAGUUGGUAAGGUAACGGCUUACCAAGGCAACGAUGCAUAGCCGACCUGAGAGGGUGAUCGGCCACACUGGAACUGAGACACGGUCCAGACUCCUACGGGAGGCAGCAGUAGGGAACCUUCCGCAAUGGGCGAAAGCCUGACGGAGCAACGCCGCGUGAGUGAUGAAGGUCUUCGGAUCGUAAAACUCUGUUAUUAGGGAAGAACAUAUGUGUAAGUAACUGUGCACAUCUUGACGGUACCUAAUCAGAAAGCCACGGCUAACUACGUGCCAGCAGCCGCGGUAAUACGUAGGUGGCAAGCGUUAUCCGGAAUUAUUGGGCGUAAAGCGCGCGUAGGCGGUUUUUUAAGUCUGAUGUGAAAGCCCACGGCUCAACCGUGGAGGGUCAUUGGAAACUGGAAAACUUGAGUGCAGAAGAGGAAAGUGGAAUUCCAUGUGUAGCGGUGAAAUGCGCAGAGAUAUGGAGGAACACCAGUGGCGAAGGCGACUUUCUGGUCUGUAACUGACGCUGAUGUGCGAAAGCGUGGGGAUCAAACAGGAUUAGAUACCCUGGUAGUCCACGCCGUAAACGAUGAGUGCUAAGUGUUAGGGGGUUUCCGCCCCUUAGUGCUGCAGCUAACGCAUUAAGCACUCCGCCUGGGGAGUACGACCGCAAGGUUGAAACUCAAAGGAAUUGACGGGGACCCGCACAAGCGGUGGAGCAUGUGGUUUAAUUCGAAGCAACGCGAAGAACCUUACCAAAUCUUGACAUCCUUUGACAACUCUAGAGAUAGAGCCUUCCCCUUCGGGGGGGCAAAGUGACAGGUGGUGCAUGGUUGUCGUCAGCUCGUGUCGUGAGAUGUUGGGUUAAGUCCCGCAACGAGCGCAACCCUUAAGCUUAGUUGCCAUCAUUAAGUUGGGCACUCUAAGUUGACUGCCGGUGACAAACCGGAGGAAGGUGGGGAUGACGUCAAAUCAUCAUGCCCCUUAUGAUUUGGGCUACACACGUGCUACAAUGGACAAUACAAAGGGCAGCGAAACCGCGAGGUCAAGCAAAUCCCAUAAAGUUGUUCUCAGUUCGGAUUGUAGUCUGCAACUCGACUACAUGAAGCUGGAAUCGCUAGUAAUCGUAGAUCGGCAUGCUACGGUGAAUACGUUCCCGGGUCU